AGGACGAACGCUGGCGGCGUGCUUAACACAUGCAAGUCGAGCGGAAAGGCCCUUCGGGGUACUCGAGCGGCGAACGGGUGAGUAACACGUGAGUAAUCUGCCCCUAGCUCUGGGAUAGCUCCGGGAAACCGGGAUUAAUACCAGAUACGACCACUUUAGACAUCUGCUGUGGUGGAAAGAAUUUCGGCUAGGGAUGAGCUCGCGGCCUAUCAGCUUGUUGGUGAGGUAACGGCUCACCAAGGCGACGACGGGUAGCCGGCCUGAGAGGGCGACCGGCCACACUGGGACUGAGACACGGCCCAGACUCCUACGGGAGGCAGCAGUGGGGAAUAUUGCGCAAUGGGCGAAAGCCUGACGCAGCGACGCCGCGUGGGGAUGAAGGCCUUCGGUUGUAAACCCUUUCAGCGAGGACGAAGCGAAAGUGACGGUACCUGCAGAAGAAGCGCCGGCUAACUACGUGCCAGCAGCCGC
rnacentral:rRNA from 1 species